GGAUUGAGGCUUAGUGGUAGAGCACCUACCUAGCAUGUGUGAGGCACUGGGUUCAAUCCUCAGCACCA
rnacentral:tRNA from 1 species